CUUUAGGGGAUGAAUUUAAAGCUUCAUGAAAGUCACAACAGUGAUUGUAGAAUCAUCUUGGACUGUCAAGUUUCCCUAUGGGUAUGCAAUGUGAAAUUGAUAUAGAUGAGUGUGCUUCACAUCCCUGCAAAAAUGGAGCCACCUGCAUUGACCAACCUGGUAAUUACUUCUGCCAGUGUGUGCCUCCAUUUAAAGGAGUUGCUACUUUGACUAGAGUUAAUAUCUACCCUCAACCACAUCAAAAAUUAUUCUUGGAAUCUUGAAUGAAGAAUUUGGGAAAAUGUUGCUCAGACUUUAUUUGACAUUGACCAUAUGAAACAUGAAUUUACAAUUACUGGCAAAAGGAAGUCCUCAAGUUGGAAGAAAAAAAGUUCAUAGAAGGAUAGAAUCAUAACAAUAAUAAGGAAAGCUAUAAAAAGACAAACAGAUAUGGCAAAGUUAUAGUCCCUAAUGUACCUGAGCCAAAUGCACUUCUACUCUCACGAUUUGCUACUUGAGCUAAUAAAUUUAUC